rfam:Triticum aestivum genome assembly, contig: Triticum_aestivum_CS42_TGACv1_scaffold_569011_7AS
CAUAGGCAGUGGCUUGGUUAAGGGAACGAAACCCACCGGAGCCGUAGCGAAAGCGAGUCUUAAUAGGGCGAUUGUCACUACUUAUGGACCCGAACCUGGGUGAUCUAUCCAUGACCAGGAUGAAGCUUCGAUGAAACUAAGCAGAGGUCCAAACUGUCUGACGUUGAAGAAUCAGCGGAUGAGUUGUGGUUAGGGGUGAAAUGCUACUCGAACCCAGAGCUAGCUGG